rnacentral:misc_RNA from 1 species
ACAAAUCGGUUAUAGGACGCGAGUCCUAUAUACACCCCAAAGGCCUAACAGCAGGAUAUCACGGUUGUGGUGGAAUGCUGGGGGGGCCUUUUGGUUGCAGUCCGCGAGGGCUGUAGGCACGGGUCUGCUUUGCGGCGGCCUAGCCACAUAGACGCUUGUAUGGUUUGACAGAGUAUAGUUGGAUUUAAAAAAUACAACUUUUAACAAUGGAUCUCUUGGCUCUUGCAACGAUGAAGAACGCAGUGAAAUGCGAAAAGUAAUGCGAUUUGCAUGAAUCUGUGAGUCAUCAAGUCUUUGAACGCACCUUGCACCAUGUGAGCAAUUGUAUGGUAUACCUGUUUGAGAAUCGUAAAAACCUCUUUCCACCGCAAGGCGGGAGAUUUGUCGGUUGUGCCCCUCACGGCGGUACUCUGAUCAAAAGCAGUAGGUCCGGAUCAGGCUAGUGGCCUGGGACAUUGUGUGCUAGAGACGUUGGCCUUGUGCCUGCAGUCUUCUCACAGUGCGUCCUAGGCCAUCAAGCUAACCUGGUCAAUCGGGUCUGUACAGUGAGUGAGCCUUGGCCUAACGGCUGGUGCUCAUGACCAACCCCCACU